rnacentral:tRNA from 1 species
GUGGGUAUAGCUUGCCGUAGAGCACAUGCUUACCAUGCAGGAGGUCCUGGGUUCAAUCCUCAGUACUUUCA